rnacentral:rRNA from 1 species
AUUGAACGCUGGCGGCAGGCCUAACACAUGCAAGUCGAACGAGUGUCGGGCACGUGAGUGAUGUCUGUGAAAAUGUCUGAGGGGGGGGGGUAACUAAUGGAGACGGUAGCUAAUACCGCAUACGAUAAGAUAUGCGCCAAUGUGGGUAUCUAGUAGGUGGGGUAACGACUCACCUAGGCGCCGAUCCCUCGCUGGUCUGAGAGGAUGACCAGCCACACUGGAACUGAGACACGGUCCAGAUUCCUACGGGAGGCAGAAGUGGGGAAUAUUGCACAAUGGGCGCAAGCCUGAUGCAGCCAUGCCGCGUGUAUGAAGAAGGCCUUCGGGUUGUAAAGUACUUUCAGCGAGGAGGCGUUACUCGCAGAAGAAGCACCGGCUAACUCCGUGCCAGCAGCCGCGGUAAUAC